rnacentral:tRNA from 1 species
UACAUUGUGGUGUAUGAGCAUAUAAAUUUUUGAAGUUUAAGGGGAAAUUCGUAGUUUCUUUUGUAU